ACCCCAGACUCCUACGGGAGGCAGCAGUGAGGAAUAUUGGUCAAUGGUCGGGAGACUGAACCAGCCAAGCCGCGUGAGGGAGGAAGGUACAGAGUAUCGUAAACCUCUUUUGUCAGGGAACAAAGACUGGGACGCGUCCCCGGAUGAGUGUACCUGAAGAAAAAGCAUCGGCUAACUCCGUGCCAGCAGCCGCGGUAAUACGGAGGAUGCGAGCGUUAUCCGGAUUUAUUGGGUUUAAAGGGUGCGUAGGCGGAGUGUCAAGUCAGCGGUAAAAUUUCGGGGCUCAACCCCGUCGUGCCGUUGAAACUGGGGAUCUAGAGUGUGCGAGAGGUAUGCGGAAUGCGUGGUGUAGCGGUGAAAUGCAUAGAUAUCACGCAGAACCCCGAUUGCGAAGGCAGCAUACCGGUGCACAACUGACGCUCAGGCACGAAAGCGUGGGUAUCGAACAGGAUUAGAUACCCCUGUA
rnacentral:rRNA from 1 species